rnacentral:lncRNA from 1 species
GUUAAUACAAACUCCAACAAGAGUCUCUCUCUCUCUCUCAGAGAAGAAACAUAAAACAAAUUACCAAGAUGAUGAUGAUGAAGACGAAGAGAAAUAAAGGAGAACUACUAUGUACGCACACACGGCAACCACUAUAUUCAUACGUCGUUACCGUUAAUGAAUUCGAGGAGAUGCAAUAGAGAGGCUACUUCGGUGUUUCGCCGGAAGAAUAAAAAGUUUGCAUGAGUCGUCGGCGUACAUGGGAAAGCCAGGCAUUUCUUUAUUUAUAAUUUCUCUCUAUUUAAUCUUCAAUAUGUAUUUUUUUUAAUUAAAUAGGUCGAAUAAUUCAGAUUCUAUCGUAAUCAACCC